CCUUCUUUCUAAAUGUCACGGCUGUGCUCGAGGGGGUCACUGUAGGACGGGUCACAAGGCGGCGUUUGUGGCUCCUGCGCCGAGACCUAAAACAGCGAGGUCCCACACAGGGGCUCCUGGGUGCCGUCCACCUGGGAGGACGUCAGCGGCGGCGGGAAGAGACGAGGCCAGGUCGCCUCACGCGAGAACACGCCGCCUCACGCGAGAACACGCCGCCAGGCCCCUCCUGACCUCGCGGAGAGGGAGGAAGGUGAGGACCUUCGGCGCAGGCCCAGUCCUCGGCGCAGGGACCGGCCGGGACCGGCCAACGGCGGCACCUUGGAGGCGCGGCCACUGGGCUGAUGCCACGUGGGCCGCUCGGUUUCGACCACAGUGGGGAUGUUUACAGAAAUGGGCGGCCAGAAGAGCAGGUCCCAGGAGCCAGGCUGGCAAGAGCUGGGGAGUGUCUCUCCAUAACUGGAAGACUGAUGAGCUGUGAGGAAUACCAUGCAGCUACAUUCACGGUUCCAGUGACGGCAGACUCACACAGAGACGGGGACCCUGCGUGCCCGCUGAUGGUGACCCUUCUGUAACAAACAGACCGGAAGACCAUGGGAGCUGCCGUCAGGGGCUGUCAGCUCCACAGUAAACCACGCUUGAACGUCUCCAGAGUUUGCAGGAAUUCUCCUUUUUGGUGGGUGCGUGCAUGCUAAGUCACUCAGUUAGAUUGACUCUUUGUGGCCCCAUGGACUGUAUGUAGCCUGCCAGGCUCCCCCGACCAUGGAAUUUCCCAAGCAAGAAUACUGGAGAGGAGUGCCAUUUCCUACUCCAUGGGAUCUUCCCGACCCAAGGGUCGAACCCGUGUCUCUUGUGUCUCUUGCAUUGGCAGGCGGUUCUUUAAUGCUCUGCCACCCGAGAAGCCCAAACAGCAGAUCAUUUUGUUUUUCGGUCAUGCCUUGCAGCACGUAGGCUCUUAAUUCGCUGGCCAGGGAUUGAAUCCUUGCCCCUUGCAUUGGAAGCCUGAAGUCCUAACCGCUGGACUUUUGUGUGUGACUCUGUAGUAUUUCAUCACAUGGAUGGAUUCAUGUCAGCACGGCCCUAAUCAAGAUGCUCAUAACAAAGCGCACAGCUCAUCUUUUAGGGGGGUUGUGUCCAUGUUUCCCAACUAGGGAGACAUCAAGGAAAACAAACCUCAGAGUGAAGCACGGAUCUGACCCCCGUGGAACCAGAAGGGGCUGGAGCCCGUUUCUGAGCACCAGCGAGUGGGUGGCGGGUCGGGGCAAGGAGGCAGGAGGGAGAAAGAGGAGGCACGGACCUUCUUCCACCUCUUUGUUUACCUGAAAUCAGCACCUUUCCUUACUUAAAAAUACUGAAACCCAGGAACUAUAUUCAAUACCUUGGAACAACCUAUAAUGGAAAAUAGUCAAAAAUACAUACAUAUUUAUAUAGAUACAUAUGUAUAGCUGAAUCACUUUCUUGUACACCUGAAAAACGACAUUGUAAACCAGCUACACUUCAAUUUAAAAAAAAAUGGAAACCCAACAAAUAAGCAAGAAGUCAAACGAAGAGCAAUUAUUGAAAGGAAUGAAAAUUUCCACAUGGGAUCACAAGGCCGAAGGUGGAGGGGUCAUGGGAACUGCCCAGAGCCUCGGAACCUACCACUUGGGGCUUCUCCCAUGCUGGGCAUUUCAGCAGAAAGUCUCUGGGGCCCUGAAUUCAGAAUUCCGGAGUGUUCCAGGAAGGCAUCUGUACUGCAGAGAGAAACAAGAAGAGGAAGCUGCCUUCUCGGGGGGCUGCUCUGAAGACAGGGCCGUCCCAUCCCUCCCCACGAGCCCGCCGCCUCCGGGCCCCCAGGCUGAGAGAGUCCAGGACACCAGCUCAUGCUGUGUCUGCAGGGUCUGUGCAUUAGUCUGCAGAAGCAGGCUGUUUCCCUUUGUUCUGAUUCAGCCGUUUGUCUUCCAGUUGGGUCUGUAGGGGGCUAUUCGUCUGUUGAGGCAGAGUUGGUAAUUUAACCAAAAAUCCUGCCAGUUCCUCCCUCAGCUCUCGAAUUUCCUUCCCAAAACCUGCUGACCCCUCUGGAGGAGCCCAAGCAGGUGCUCACCUGAGACAGAGGAUCCCGGUGUGGCUACACGGGUUACCUCACCCACAUACAUGAGCCCAUAAUUGUAGCAUCUUGAACUGAACUGAACUGAGCAUUAACUAGGUAUAUGAGAAAUUAUUUCAUUUUUCAGUGAGACAAGAUCGAUACAGUGACUUAUCCAAGUUAAUUAAUCACUGGCAGAAAAAGACUGAAGUGACCUCCCCCACAAUUUAUCUUCCUCUGCAGUUUUCUUCUAUAUGUGGACUCUGGGAUAACUACAGUGCUUAUGUGAAAAACUCAUAGAGAAGAAAAAUAAGAGACCAAGUGUUUGCAGGGCAACAGAAUGAAAGCAGUUUUCCAGCUGUCUGCCUCCAAGCAAAGCAGGGUGCUUCCCUGUCCCCCACUGGCCUCUGGGGGUCCUACAUGCGAGGAAGAGCGCACUUGCCCUGAGACCCCCGGGAGCAGAGCAGGGCCGGGUCCCAGAUCACACCUGCCAUGGCCCCGGCCCAGGCCCGCAGGGACCAUGGAGAAGGUCCAUGGACAGCGUUCCGACGAGGCAUGCAAAUCCAGUCUGCUGACUCAGGGCUCAUUUUAGUCACAUCUGAGCCAAGCUGAGCUCAGAAAGACAGGCUCGGAGAGAGAGCCGGGCCUCUUCUGACAGUCUGAGCUUCCAGUGUGCAGACGACAGUGUGUGAAACCUGAGAACGGCAUUAACUUCGGCCUCUCGCUACACCCUGCCCACCAGUGGCCUUGCCCGCUUUUCCCAUUAAAGCGUGUCUCAGCCCACCGUAUAAUCCUGUGCAUUCACCUAGAGCACAGAGGUCUCAGGAAAUGAAGAAAAAGCAAAAUAAAGAAAAGAAAAUGCAUGCAAAGAUCUUUUGA